rnacentral:lncRNA from 1 species
AAAUCGGCCAAAAUUGCCCCAAAAAUUCCCAAAAUUGCCCCGAAAAUUCCCAAAAUUGCCCCGAAAAUUCCCCCGGGAUCGAGCCCGAGAAUGGUGAGUGGGGAGGGGGCAGGGGUCACUCGGGGGUCAGGGGUCACGCGGGGGUCAGGGGUCAUUCAGGGGUCAGGGGUCACUGGGGGGUCAGGGGUAAUGUGGGGGUCACUCAGGGGUCAGUGGGAGGGGUCAGUGGUCACUCAGGGUCACUCAGUGGUCACUCAGUGGUCACUCAGUGGUCACUCAGUGGUCACUCAGUGGUCACCCAGGGUCACUCAUUGGUCACUCAGAGGGGUCAGUGGUCACUCAUUGGUCACUCAUUGGUCACUCAGUGGUCAGUGGUCACUCUGGUCACUCUGGUCACUCUCAGGGCUCCUGGUCAUCACCGUGGCCACCGCGGUCACCGACGGCUUCAGCCGCUUCCUGCGCUCGGCCCGGGCCUUCAACUACAGCGUGAUGGUAAUGAGAUGCUAAUGAGAUGCUAAUGAGGGUGUAACUAACACAGGGCCUUCAACCACAGCGUGAUGGUAAUGAGAUGCUAAUGAGAUGCUAAUGAGGGUGUAACUAACGCAGGGCCUUCAACCACAGCGUGAUGGUAAUGAGAUGCUAAUGAGGGCCGGGGUAUGCUAAUGAGGGUGGGACUAACAGACAGGGCCUUCAACUACAGCGUGAUGGUAAUGAGAUGCUAAUGAGAUGCUAAUGAGGGCCGGGUAUGCUAAUGAGUGUAUGACUAACAGACAGGGCCUUCAACUACAGCGUGAUGGUAAUGAGAUGAUAAUGAGAUGCUAAUGAGAUGCUGAUGAGGGCCGGGGUAUGCUAAUGAGGGUGGGGCUAAGGGCCUUCAGCUACAGU